rnacentral:rRNA from 1 species
GACGAACGCUGGCGGCGUGCUUAACACAUGCAAGUCGAACGGAAAGGCCCUGCUUUUGUGGGGUGCUCGAGUGGCGAACGGGUGAGUAACACGUGAGUAACCUGCCCUUGACUUUGGUAUAACUUCAGGAAACUGGGGCUAAUACCGGAUAGGAGCUCCUGCUGCAUGGUGGGGGUUGGAAAGUUUCGGCGGUUGGGGAUGGACUCGCGGCUUAUCAGCUUGUUGGUGGGGUAGUGGCUUACCAAGGCUUUGACGGGUAGCCGGCCUGAGAGGGUGACCGGCCAAAUUGGGACUGAGAGACGGCCCAGACUCCUACGGGAGGCAGCAGUGGGGAAUAUUGCACAAUGGGCGGAAGCCUGAUGCAGCAACGCCGCGUGCGGGAUGACGGCCUUCGGGUUGUAAACCGCUUUCGCCUGUGACGAAGCGUGAGUGACGGUAAUGGGUAAAGAAGCACCGGCUAACUACGUG